rnacentral:tRNA from 1 species
GUCCAGGGAUGGGAAUCGAAAACAGUGUUCCGCUUACCGGGCAGAUGCCAUGUCCACUAGGCUACCCUGGA